rnacentral:rRNA from 1 species
CUAGCCGUAAACGAUGGAUACUAGGCGUUGUGAGUAUCGACCCUCACAGUGUCGUAGCUAACGCGUUAAGUAUCCCGCCUGGGGAGUACGCGCGCAAGCGUGAAACUCAAAGGAAUUGACGGGGGCCCGCACAAGCGGUGGAGUAUGUGGCCUAAUUCGAUGCAACGCGAAGAACCUUACCAGGACUUGACAUGUCGCGAAUCUCAGGGAAACUUGAGAGUGCCUUCGGGAGCGCGAACACAGGUGGUGC